GGCCUAUUGGUGAAAUGGUUAACACACCGCCCUCUCAAGGCGGCAUUCAUGGGUUCAAAUCCCAUAUGGGUCACCA
rnacentral:tRNA from 1 species